rnacentral:rRNA from 1 species
UCGGUGGAGCUUGUAGCGGAAGCGGCGGACGGGUGAGUAACGCGUAGGCAACCCGCCCUAGCUGGGGGGAGCCACGGGAACCGUGACAAACCUCAUAAUGCGGAGGGGUACAUGACUCCUCGCCAAAUCAUCGGCUAUGGUGGGCCUGCGUUGAUAGGUAGUGGUGGGGUAACGGCUCACCAAGCCUACGAUCAGUAACCGACCUGAGAGGGUAAUCGGUCACAUUGGAACUGAACACGGUCCAAACUCCUACGGGAGGCAGCAGUGGGGAAUAUUGCACAAUGGGCGCAAGCCUGAUGCAGCAACGCCGCGUGAGCGAAGAAAGUCCUAUGGAUUGUAAAGCUCUGAUCUGGGGAAAGAUAAUGACGGUACCCCAGGARAAAGCCCCGGCUAACUCCGUGCCAGCAGCCGCGGUAAUACGGAGGGGGCGAGCGUUAUCCGGAAUUAUUGGGCGUAAAGAGUGCGUAGGUGGUUUUCUAAGCGAGGGGUGAAAGGCAAGUGGCUCAACCAUUGUAAGCCCUUCGAACUGGAUGACUUGAGUGCAGGAGGGGAAAUGUGGAAACUCCUAGUGUAGCGGUGAAAAUGCGUAGAUAUUAGGAAAGAAACACCGGUGGCGGAAGGCGGCGUUUCUGGACUGUAACUGACACUGAGGCACGAAAAGCGUGGGGAGCAAACAGGAUUAGAUACCCCUGGUAGUCCACGCCGUAAACGAUGAGCACUAGGUGUCGGGGCCUAGGGGCCUCGUGCCGCGGUUGCGCGUUGGUGCUCCGCC